GCGAAAGGCUCAUUAAAUCAGUUGUGGUUCCUUAGAUCGUACCCAAGUUACUUGGAUAACUGUGGUAAUUCUAGAGCUAAUACAUGCCGACAGAGUUCCGACCGUCGCGUCGCCCCCGGGCGUCGCGCGCGGGAGGAACGCUUUUAUUAGAUCAAAACCGGCCCGUCGCGGCGCGCGCCUCGCGCGCGCGUCCCGAUCGCGGCCCGCGCAAAGACCUGGUGACUCUGAAUAACUUCGAGCUGAUCGCACGGUCUCCGUACCGGCGACGCAUCUUUCAAAUGUCUGCCUUAUCAACUGUCGACGGUAGGUUCCAUGCCUACCGUGGUGGUAACGGGUAACGGGGAAUCAGGGUUCGAUUCCGGAGAGGGAGCCUGAGAAACGGCUACCACAUCCAAGGAAGGCAGCAGGCGCGCAAAUUACCCACUCCCGGAACGGGGAGGUAGUGACGAAAAAUAACGAUACGGGACUCAUCCGAGGCCCCGUAAUCGGAAUGAGGACACUUUAAAACCUUUAAACGAGGAUCAAUUGGAGGGCAAGUCUGGUGCCAGCAGCCGCG
rnacentral:rRNA from 1 species